UCGUCUCUUCUUCCUCCGCUGUCCAUCAAAUCUGCGCCUUCUGUUCUUCCUUAUUGGAUUACUCAGCCCCCUCCGCUAUUGGCCGCAACUCGGCUUGUGCUACCCGGAGGACUAUUUAAACUAGACAGCCUAGGAAGCAGCAUCCGGAUUUGCAUUUGCUUCGCCUGACACGUUUUACCUGUUUGUUGAUUUAAUCAUUCAUUUUUUUCUUGCGGGGGACAGCUAUACAUGAGCUGAGGAUGUAGGGCCGGCAGGCAGCCAGGAUGGAGUGCUCCUGGAAGACAGUGCUGUUGCUGGUGUGCGCAUCACUCGGGGUGCAGUACACGGCCAUCCGCUCACUGAGGGGCUCCAUCGCCGAGCCCUGCGGUGGGGCGGACCGCUGCCAACUCCGCCGGCCCAAAGAGUACCGAUGGAGGUCCCUUUGUGAUGGGAGGCCUCCGUCUGAGGGGAGCUUCUCCUCUCUCUCCUCCUCCCGGAAGCAUAUCCUCCUCUUUGCUACCACCCGCAGCGGGUCCUCUUUCACAGGACAGCUAUUCAACCAGCACCCCAGUAUCUUCUACGUGUUUGAGCCCCUCUACCACGUCCAGCAGGUCUUCACCAAUUCCAGCAGUAGGCUGCGCCGUGGCUUGGAUCCUCGGGCUCUACUAGGCGCCUACCGCGACCUGCUCCUCAACAUGUACACCUGCGACCUCCACUUCCUUGAGAACUACAUCCGGCCUGAACCUCAGGACCACCUGACGGGCUCCUUCUUCAGGCGGGCCUCCAGCAGUGCCCUGUGCUCGCCCCCCGUGUGCCUCGAGAGCGGCGGGGCCCCAGGAGAGCCCGACGAGGCCUGGUGCCCCCGGCGAUGCCGGACACUCAACCUCACACUGGCCUCCCAGGCCUGCCUGGCUCGGGGUCACGUGGCUAUCAAGACGGUACGCAUCCCCGAGGUGCAGGACUUGCGCACACUGUCCGAAGACCCCCGCCUGCACCUGAGGAUCGUGCACCUCGUGCGUGACCCCCGGGGCAUCCUGGCUUCCCGCAUGGGUGCCUUCGGUGACCAGUUCCGGGCCUGGAAAAUCUGGAACGCCACUGGGAGGCAGCCGCGCUACGUGGACCUAACGCAGAUCACGCGUACUUGCCAGGAUCUAGCAGACUCCGCCCAGACGGGCCUCAGGCAGCCACCCUGGCUUAGGGGGAAGUACCUACUGGUGCGCUACGAGGACUUGGCCCUUCACCCUGAGGAGAAGGCGGAGGAGAUCUACCGAUUUGUCGGUUUGGAGAUGGACCAGAAGGUGCGAGCCUGGAUUUUACAGAACACCAGGCGCAGCGCCUCGCCCACAGAGGGGAACUAUAAGUACUCCACCACUAGGGACUCCAGAGCCACUGCGGAAAGCUGGAGACUGCGGCUCGCCUAUGACAUCGUGGGUGUGGUGCAGACUCUCUGCAACCGCACUCUGUCUUUACUGGGCUAUAAGCCAGUUCACUCCCUAGCGGACCUGAGGAACCUGUCCUACAGUCUGGUCGAGCCGAGAAGCUUCCUCCCACUAUUAUGACAGCUGGGAGGAGAACGCAGCAUUACGGAGGAAGACAGAGGACUUUGGCACGGCUGUGUUUAAUUCAGCAAGCUCUGGCAUCCCAUCCAAGGUGUAUCCCAGCCUUGCGACCUGUUCUGCCUGGGAUGGGAUCCAGGCGCACUGGGACCCUGAAUAGGAGAAGCUGUUAACAUGGUGAUAACAUGGUGCCGUACAAUGAAAUCCUUACUCGAGUGCUUCAGGGAGACCAUAGUGACAAAUAAAUGCAAGACAAGAAGUACUGCGGUUCAUUAUAGAUACCAAAAAGUAACACAUAACAGAAUCUCACACGCUGUACACAAAGAAACACUUAGAACUUAGAGAUGCGCAAUGGAGGUUGAACCAAGAGAGUAACGUGCCCGGCCAGUGAUUGUUAAAGCAUUUGGUGUACAGUUAGGCUGUAUUGAGGAACCUAAUUUCCUGCAGGGUAUAACUGGAAAAAAUAUAGAAUAGAUUAUACUGAAUGUCUUCAUGAAAUAAACCCAGGAUGAAAUGCAGGAACGUCUUAUGUAUUCAGGUUGGAUGCCAAACUUCGUGUCCUUCAGGUUUGCACAGAGACAGCUGCCUUAUUUCCUUCGCCGAGUCCAGUGCCGGGCUACGGCUUGCGAAAAGUGUAUACAAAUUACUGCAUCAAGAAAAAAGCCGGUGCAAUUUGAGAGGCUCGCCGAGGGGAAAUUACAUUUAUUAUAUCAAAUGAAGUCUGGUCGUUGCUGCCCGAGCCCUGAGAUUGCGGGAACGUCUGCCAAAAUGUCUUUGAAGUCAUACGUAGUCCGCAGGGCCCCCUUCAUUACCAAGAAAGUCUCAUGUAGACAUAGAACAAUAAAAAAUAUUUUAAAUAGUCCCGUACCUGAGCAGUAUUUUAAAUUACCCGCAAUAUUAUAAAAAACAUGUUAUUCAGAAAGCAUCUCGCAGUAACUUUUCCAUCUGCCUUGCAUUCGCGACGUUCGCCUGAACCUUCCUACAAAUACAAACUUGUUUCAAAACUGAUGGGCUUUAAAUUUAAGGAAUUCAUUUUGGCGCGAUGCGUUAAGAAGGCACAGAGGGAAGUGUCUCCAUGAUCGAGGACCGAAGCUAGGGAGCGACGGCAGGUGCCUCUUCACUUUCAUCCUCCAGCCAUUCGCGGCUGACAGGCAAGGAGACCAAAGCUGACAUUUCUGAAUACAGCCGAUAGACGGCAGUUGACAUUUUCACCUGCUCCCACAUAAGCAAGAACAUACAGAUUCAGCGUAAACAAAUAAGACUUGAAAUAACAGUAGAUAACUCUUCUAAAUCCAUAUCAAGUUAUUAUUGCUAUAUUAUUUCAGGCUAAUUGCGUCAUGAUCCUAGAAUGAUCACUAUACAAUAGUAAAUAAAUUCUCCUAUUCCAAGACGUAGCUUGGAAACCGAAUGAUCUAAGUUUUUUUUUUGUCCAUCAGCAGUUCUCAAAUUAUUUAUGUUUGCUACUUUUCCCCACUGAAUUUAUCUUUCCUUUUAUUUGUGCUCUGUGGAAUUUCAAAUAAGCACUCUGUGUCAGAUUCAUCUUUGUAAACAAUUUCAAAAUUUCUGCAGUACUGGAAAACAUCCAUUAGCACAGAAAUAAAAUUAUACUUCAAAAAUCCUUAUCCUCUUCAGUUGUGGUGGCCUUCGUAUGAAGGACUGGAAUACAUCACAUUUUAUACAUUUGUUACCAUUACCAUGCUGGUUUAGCAAAAAUACUCUUCUUUUUUCCACUAUUCUACAGUAAUACACUGCAUUGAUUCCAUCUAGUUUUGUGCAAAAAAUUCAUUGAUUACUGCCAGUCAGGAAUGUAAUGUGAAAGAUCCAUAAAGAGUUUUAAUUUAUUAUUAUUAAUUAUUAUUAUUGUUGUUGUUGCUGUUAUUUCAACACAAACUGAAACAACAUUUAAAUACAUGCAGGUUGUUCAUAUGAUUGUCCAUGUGCUACCAUCCAUGUUUAAUACAUAAAUCAAUACAGCAAAUAUCAUAGUUAAAGGGGGACAACACUGACAACUCACAAGAACUUAGCCAUCCAUAACACGUCUAACAUCUAUAUUUCAUUUCAAUUAAUUUUCACCGAAAGCAUACUGUAACUGUAAGAAAUGCACUGCUACCACAUCACAUAUAGAUAAACUACAGACAAGUGUCCAGUUAAACCGGCAAUCCAAUGAAUCAAAACACUACGAUGAACAGAACUGGCAGGAUUUCGCUUUUUAUGACUUUCAGGUAAACAGCCUUGUGUUGUUUUAUCCUGCGUGGUACAGCUGGGCCUGUGCUGGUUGACGAGAGAAGGCAAUGUUCAGAAUCCUGAUUUACGAGUGUGUCCCUGCUUCGCUAUGGGGAUUUCUCUUAAAUAUAGCUGUAUUUUUUUUGUUUAACUCAUUGGUUUUAUGGACUCUCACUCUUGAUGACCUCUGUCUAGAAACCUGGUAGAUUUAAUCACUAACUCAUUGAAGGUAUAGGUCCUCAUUAGUUUCAACAGUUUACUAGUGGUUUGGCUAUAGCAUUGUCAGGACUAGCAAUUCAGCAAAGACUUUAUAAAAGUGCCACUGAGUGAACUGAGCCAAUUAGCAGAUUAGACAACUGGCAAAGCCCAAAUCUCUACUGUCAAUGCAAGCACAGAAACAAGUUCCUCAUCUCGGGGUUUCGUGCUGGGAGAUUAAUUUUCAACCACUUGUUGGCACCUGGUUGCCCUUUGUUUGGCCAGCCUCUCACACCAGCUAGGCUUCAGGCCUAGAAAGUAAGAGGGGGUUACAUUAUACUUAACCAGAGUGUAAUCCAGCCAGCUUUGGUGUAUGUGUGUGAGAUGCUGUGAUGAGCUAUUUUUCCAUCCACAUUGUGUCUCUGCACUGUGCUGCCUGAGGCGAGCUCUAGGCCCCACCCCUUGUGACCCCAGUCUUCACUCUCACUUGUAUGUGUGCCUAUAUAUCAAAGGAGAAGCAUUCUAAUCUACCUGUGCUCAUACUUUACCAAUGGCAAAUAAAGCAUCCUUUCAGAACGAAUGAGCUCAGAUUCACACUUUUGUUCCACUGCAGUGCCCAUUGCUAAGUCACGGGAGCGGGGGUCACCAACCUUUUUGAAACUGAGAGCUACUUCACGGGUACUGAGCCAUACUACCAAUG